GGCAGGGUGAGGGUUGCUGUGUGUCUUUUCCCUUCCUGUGUCUCCUUUGUCCACCAAAGUAACUCAAAUCCUCUAAGUUAACUACCUAUUGGUAGUAAGAGUGCCUCUAGUUUAUGUUAACCUUUCAACCUCUCAUCUUAGAGUUUGCUUUUUGCUAGUUAAUUCCAUGGGCUUCCCAGGGGGUUCAAUGGUAAAGAAUCCGCCUGCCAGUGCAGGAGCUGUGGGAGACAGGGGUUCGAACCCUGGUUUGGGAAGAUCCCUGGAGUAGGAAAUGGCAACCCACUCCAAUAUUCUUGUCUGGGAAAUCNNNNNNNNNNNNNNNNNNNNGCUAUAGUCCAUGGGGUCACAAAGAGUCAGACAUGACUGAGUGACUGAACAUGCCUAUAGUUAAUUCCUUGCAUACCUGGUUCUCACACACUUGUACACGUGAGGACCUAUGUGUCCUGUUGUGAUCCCCUGCCUAUCAAACACCCACAGGCUGGGCCCACCCAGGUUCCUCUGGAGUGGCUUGGCAACUCAGUGAGUCACGGUCAAGGGGAUGGUGAGGCCCCUGGCUCCACCUCGGUGUUCCAUAACUAGGAAGAGAAAGGGUUUGAUCAGAAGGGAACGAAGAGAAGCAAGAAGCAAAUGUAGUAUAAUGGAUAUGGUGUGCAGCAAGAUAAGGACAUAUUCUCAACAGGAUCCCACAUUGCCUUCAGUCUGCCUUCUCUAACCAUUCCUCAGUUCAGUUCAGUUCAGUCGCUCACUCGUGUCCAAUUCUUUGCGACCCCAUGAAUCGCAGCACGCCAGGCCUCCCNNNNNNNNNNNNNNNNNNNNNNNNNNNNNNNNNNNNNNNNNNNNNNNNNNNNNNUGCCAUCCAGCCAUCUCAUCCUCGGUCAUCCCCUUCUCCUCCUGUCCCCACUCCCUCCCAACAUCAAAGUCUUCUCCAAUGAGUCAACUCUUCGCAUGAGUCUUUCCUUAUAACCUUGACUUUUGAAAAGUACACUAGAGUUAUUAUGGAUAUUGUCUCUCAGUUUGAGUUUAUCUGAUGCUUUCUCUUCGGGGCAAGAUUAACAUAGAAUGAUUCUGUGCCCUUCUCAGUGGACUGCAACCAUCAUGUUGCUGUCUCAUUAUGGUGAUGUUCAUUUUGAUCAGUUGGUUAAUGAGGCCCACUAUAUAUCUCCACUGUAAAUUGACUUUCAGACUGGGAAAAUACCCUGUUUCUCAUCAUAUUUCCACUUGAAUUUUAGCAGACACUGAGGACUUUUGCCAGUAGCAAUUAUUCCUGUGGUUGUUUGCCAAAUGGUGAUUUUCUGUUUCCAUUAUUUCUUCUCCAUUUAUGUAUUGGAAUUCUCCUGUACUGAAGAGCUAUUGCUUCUCUCCUAUUCAUUUAAUUAUUCAGGUAUUCAUUUUUAUCAGUAUGGAUAUAUCCAAAAUAUACAAAGAACUCACACAACUCAAUAUUGAAAAUAAACAACUUGAUUAAAAAAUGGGCAGAGAAUUUAAUUAAACAUUUUAUUUCAAAGAAGACAUACAGAUGGCCAACAGGAAAAGGUGCUCAAUAUCACUAAUCAUCAGAGAAAUGCAAAUCAAACCAAGAAUGAGAUACCACCUCACACUUGUCAGAAUAGCUAUGAUAUAAAAAGGAUAACAAAUAACAAGUAUUGGCAAGGAUGCAGAGAAAAGGGAACUCUUGCGCUCUGUUGGUAGGAAUGUGAAUGGUGCAGCCUCUAUGGAAAAAAGUAUGGAGAAUCCUCAGAAAAUUAAAAAGAGAACUACCAUAUGAUCCAGCAGUUCCACUCCUGGGUAUUAUCAAUAGAAAAUGAAAGCAUCCCUAUGUCCAUUGCAGUAGUAUUACAAUGGUCAAGACAUGCAAGCAGUCU
rnacentral:lncRNA from 1 species